rnacentral:rRNA from 1 species
GUGGUGAAUCUUAGACAAUGGGCGCAAGCCUGAUCUAGCCAUGCCGCGUGAGCGAUGAAGGCCUUAGGGUUGUAAAGCUCUUUCAGGGGGGAAGAUAAUGACGGUACCCCCAGAAGAAGCCCCGGCUAACUCCGUGCCAGCAGCCGCGGUAAUACGGAGGGGGCUAGCGUUGUUCGGAAUUACUGGGCGUAAAGCGCACGUAGGCGGACCAGAAAGUCAGGGGUGAAAUCCCGGGGCUCAACCCCGGAACUGCCUUUGAAACUCCUGGUCUUGAGGUCGAGAGAGGUGAGUGGAAUUCCGAGUGUAGAGGUGAAAUUCGUAGAUAUUCGGAGGAACACCAGUGGCGAAGGCGGCUCACUGGCUCGAUACUGACGCUGAGGUGCGAAAGCGUGGGGAGCAAACAGGAUUAGAAACCCCUGUAGUCC